rnacentral:rRNA from 1 species
GAACCUGAAACCGUGUACGUACAAGCAGUGGGAGCCUCUUAAUGGGGUGACUGCGUACCUUUUGUAUAAUGGGUCAGCGACUUAUAUUCUGUAGCAAGGUUAACCGAAUAGGGGAGCCGAAGGGAAACCGAGUCUUAACUGGGCGUUAAGUUGCAGGGUAUAGACCCGAAACCCGGUGAUCUAGCCAUGGGCAGGUUGAAGGUUGGGUAACACUAACUGGAGGACCGAACCGACUAAUGUUGAAAAAUUAGCGGAUGACUUGUGGCUGGGGGUGAAAGGCCAAUCAAACCGGGAGAUAGCUGGUUCUCCCCGAAAGCUAUUUAGGUAGCGCCUCGUGAAUUCAUCUCCGGGGGUAGAGCACUGUUUCGGCAAGGGGGUCAUCCCGACUUACCAACCCGAUGCAAACUGCGAAUACCGGAGAAUGUUAUCACGGGAGACACACGGCGGGUGCUAACGUCCGUCGUGAAGAGGGAAACAACCCAGACCGCCAGCUAAGGUCCCAAAGUCAUGGUUAAGUGGGAAACGAUGUGGGAAGGCCCAGACAGCCAGGAUGUUGGCUUAGAAGCAGCCAUCAUUUAAAGAAAGCGUAAUAGCUCACUGGUCGAGUCGGCCUGCGCGGAAGAUGUAACGGGGCUAAACCAUGCACCGAAGCUGCGGCAGCGACACUAUGUGUUGUUGGGUAGGGGAGCGUUCUGUAAGCCUGUGAAGGUGGCCUGUGAGGGUUGCUGGAGGUAUCAGAAGUGCGAAUGCUGACAUAAGUAACGAUAAAGCGGGUGAAAAGCCCGCUCGCCGGAAGACCAAGGGUUCCUGUCCAACGUUAAUCGGGGCAGGGUGAGUCGACCCCUAAGGCGAGGCCGAAAGGCGUAGUCGAUGGGAAACAGGUUAAUAUUCCUGUACUUGGUGUUACUGCGAAGGGGGGACGGAGAAGGCUAUGUUGGCCGGGCGACGGUUGUCCCGGUUUAAGCGUGUAGGCUGGUUUUCCAGGCAAAUCCGGAAAACCAAGGCUGAGGCGUGAUGACGAGGCACUACGGUGCUGAAGCGACAAAUGCCCUGCUUCCAGGAAAAGCCUCUAAGCAUCAGGUAACAUCAAAUCGUACCCCAAACCGACACAGGUGGUCAGGUAGAGAAUACCAAGGCGCUUGAGAGAACUCGGGUGAAGGAACUAGGCAAAAUGGUGCCGUAACUUCGGGAGAAGGCACGCUGAUAUGUAGGUGAAGCGACUUGCUCGUGGAGCUGAAAUCAGUCGAAGAUACCAGCUGGCUGCAACUGUUUAUUAAAAACACAGCACUGUGCAAACACGAAAGUGGACGUAUACGGUGUGACGCCUGCCCGGUGCCGGAAG